GUCUAUGGCCAUACUACCCUGAAUGAGCCGGAUUUUAUCUGAUCCUGGAAGCUAAGCAGAGUCAGGUCUGGUUAGUUCUUGGAGGGGAGAAGGUAAUCGCGACAAUACACAUGAAUGCCAUUUCAGGCC
rnacentral:rRNA from 1 species